AAUUAAUAUAAAGAGUCACAGUGGCAACCGGCUAGAAAACUCAGUAUGAUUAAUAGGUCAAUUGUCCCCAAUUGACUUGAAGAUUUAUUGAGAACUCAUUAAAAAUGUCACUAGGCAUUUUGGUAGGAAUUGAAUAUGAAAUUCAUCCAGAAAUGCAAGGCUUGAAGAGCGGACAUUGUGUGAGAGCUGGAGGAUCAACGUGAUACAAUUACAAAACUUUAUAUAAAACUAAACCCAGUCAGUGCACUACAUAUAACCCAGGGAAGAAAACAGAGAGACCAGGGCAAAGAUCUCUGCACAUACAUGUACAAGUGGGUUUUGACAUAAACAUAAAGUAACGUGGUUAUCAGAGAAACAUUCUUUUUUUUCUUUCUUUUUUAUUUUUAUUAGAUAUUUUCUUUUUUGACAUUUCAAAUGUUAUCUCGUUUCCUAGUUUCCCCUCCGAAAAUCCCAUCCCCUCCCAACUAACCCUGCUCACCAACCCAUCCACUCCCACUUCCUGGUCCUGGCAGUUCCCUAUACUGGGGCUUAGAACCUUCACAGGGCCUCUCCUCCCAUUGAUGACUGACUAGCCCAUCCUCUGCUACAUAUGCAGUUGGAGCCAUGAGUCCCACCAUGUGUUUUCUUUGAUUGGUGGUUUAGUCCCAGGGAGCUUUGGGGGAUACUGGUUAGUUCAUGUUGUUGUUCCUCCUAUGGGGCUCCAAACCCCUCAAGCUCCUUGGGUACUUUCUCUAGCUCCUUCAUUGGGGACCCUGUGCUCUCUCUAAUGGAUAUCUCUGAGCAUCCACUGCAGAGAAACAUUCUAGACAAUCAAAACUAAAACAACUGGAUGUAACCAAACCACAAAAUAAGUCUGAAUGAUGGAAGUCUCAAGCACUGUCAACAUCAAUGAACAUAAAUUUAUAAGGGCAUACACAGGACAAAAUAGUUGGGAUACUGGCCUACACAAGCAUGGCAGCUACAGUGUAAAGCUCAUGAAAGAACAAAUGUAGGAUUUCAGAACAAAUACAACAAAAAAAUUAUCAAGCUUGCUUUUUAAAAGAGAUGGUCUCUCAAAUAGAAGAUGAUAUUUGUCAUACUUUAUCUGAAGGAACAUACAGAGAACAUGGAAAUGUAAAGAUUUAUUUUGGCUUGUGGUUUCUGAGUGUUCUAUGUUGUUCAUGUACGUGGGCAUAACGGCUCAGGGCCAGUAAUCUGUGUUAUGUUCAUAUCACAGCAAGCAGGAGGUAGAGUGAGACAGCAUGCAGCUAGGGAUCACAUUUUCCAAGGGCCCAUCUCCAGAGACCUAGCUCUGUCCUACAUCCAGUUUCCAGAACCUCCCCAAAUAGAAAGGGACUCAGAUGAAUAUUGGGAAAGGUCUAACAGUGGGGAGAGGGAACAUGUAGAACUCAUCUCUAGUAGAAAUCAAGUGGAGGGAUGGGGUUGCCAUCCCAGAGUCAAAAACACUGACUCAGAAUUGUUCCUAUCUAAAAGAACUUCAGGGACAAAAAUGGAGAAGAGAGUGAUGGAAAGGAGGUUCAGUGACUGGCCCAAAUUGGAAUCCAGGUCAAGGGAAGGAUCCAAGGCCUGACAAUAUUACUGAUGCUAUGGGUGCUUAUAGACAGGAACCUCGUAUGGCUGCCCUUGGAAUGGGGAAGUCUGGCAGGGUGGGGGUGAGGACAUCCUCUUGGAGAUGGGAGAGGAGGAAUAGAAUGAGGAACAGUCAGAGGGUGAACCGGGAGGGAGAUGACUAUUGGACUGUAAAAAAGAUUAAAGAAUAAUAAUAAUUUUUAAAAAAGAAAGAAAAUAUGGAAGGAAGAAAGGGAGGGAGGGAGAGAGAGAGAGAGAGGGAGAGAGAGAGAGAGAGAGACUCUGAAUUUGGAACAUAGGCAUGGGAGUGACAUUUUAGAUUUAAACUGUAUCAACUCUCAAUAGAGAGAAAACAAGCCAAUUUAAAAAAAAAAAAAAAAAGCACUGCAUUCGGAGACACAUCCUGAAAGAUGUGGAAGCCAGGGGUUCAGUGGAGAGCUUGGCCAGACUGCAUGAGGGGGCCUUGGAUUAGAGCCCCUACAAUGCUUGUCUCUACUUCAAUUAUUUGUUUCAAAUUAAAGUUAUGUUUUCUCUUAGUUGCAGCUUCUAUUUCUCCCUCCUCAGACUUCUUCUGAUAUGCAAGAGAACAAACUUAAUUUUGUUGCUGUUUUGUUCCUUUAAGAUGGAGGAGAGACAGACAGAGAAAGAACAUUAUGUUGGGUGGAUAGAGAGGUAGGAAGGAUCAUGGAAGGAGGAGCUGAGAAGGCGGAAGUAUACUAUUAAAGUAUACUGUAUGUAAAAAAAUGUAAGAGUAGGUGUGGUGGAAGAAACUAUACAUUGCCUAUUAAGAUGUUCUAGAAUACUGGAAUUUUAGCCUGGAGACCACAAUUAUGAGUCAGGACUGUGUAUCUCAAGGCAACAUCUCAAUGCCAGGGGCUCAGGGUAUACAUGAUCAGAUGUGCACUUCCUUUCUACUCUGCCAAAUAGAAGUUAUAAAGAAAUCAGAGGCCUUCAGAACAUUCAAAAGAAUGAGAAUGAAUUUCCUGGACUGAUUAAACAGGCUGUACAAUUGAGCUCAAUUUCUUGUAUUUAAUAUAUAUUAUGUGCAAUUGUAUUAUUAUAUUAAUUAUAUAGCAUUAUAUUGAUCAUAAAAUUAUAUCAUAUUAACUAUAUUAUGAUAUGUAAUUAUAUUAUGUAUAUGUAUUUUUUGCAUUUUCAAGGUCAAUCAUUUAACCCUCUACUUUCGUCUAUAGGAUAUGGUAGUCUACAAUUUGCUUCCCGGCUUUCUAACACUUUUAAAUUAGGAGCUCCAUAUAAGUUAAAAGUGCCACCUCACUAUUAAACCUAAUGCUCUCCCCCUGAGUUAUCAUUAUUUCUGUUUCACUGCGUGGCUCCCUACACCAACAUACAUUAUAAUGAUUAAUUUUACAUGUCAACUGUUUAGGGCCUAAACCAUAUUAAAUAUUAUUUCUGGGUAUGUCUGUGAGGUUGCUUUAUAUGUAAAAUUAGCAUAUGAAUCAAUAGACUCAGUAAAGAGGACCAUCCUCAAUGUAGGUGGGCAUCAUGUAAUCCUUUGAGAUUGAGGACUGCAAGGAAAAGGCAUAAGAAGAGCGAAUUUCCUUCUAGUUUUCUUGUCUUACUGCUUGAGGUAGAAUGUCGCAUUUCCUCUUUUCCUGACCCUGGACUUAAAUUUACAGUAUCAUUUCCCAUAUUUUCAAGCUUUUGGACUGAGGACAAAACCACCUCAGAGAAGACAGGCUUCUUGGUCUAGGGUGGUGAAACUUUUUGUGGAGGGAGAGAGGGAGGGAGGGAGAGAGGGAAGGAGGGGGAGAGAGAGAGAGAGAGAGAGAGAGAGAGAGAGAGAGAGAGAGAGAGAGAGAGAGAGAGAGAGGAGGAAAGUCAUUGAGCCUAGUGGCUAGGUAAACAUGAAUCAAGCAUGUAAUUAGAUUGACUUUUCUUUUAAAUUAGCUGUUGUGGUGCAUAAGUCAUGGCAAGGAAAUCCUUGGAACAUGUGCCCCUGCAGUCCUGGAAAGAAAUGGCAAAAGCCAUUUAGACCAGAUAACAGAAGUAGAAACAGAGAUAACAGUGAAUAGUCUGUUCAACUGUGUGUAACUGUUGACCCUCCAGAUAGAAAACCUCAAGAUCCAAAUUAUGAUACUAAAAAAUUAGAACAAACAAAUAAACAAACAAACCAAUCCUCAAGGCUAGUUACCAAAGAGCUACCAUUUCCAUAGCCAGAGGCCUAGCGGAUAGAAGGCUACUGUUUAUGAAUCCUGCAUUGUAUUAUUGUUUAUGCACAUGUGUUGUCUCACUACCAUAGUAUAAACACUCUGAGACUACUCCCUUUCAAAGUAAUUGGGAGUGUAGACAGUGUCAUGGCUCUAACAUGCAGAAUGUUACAUCAUCCCCACACCAUUAAAAAUAGAUGUACGGAUCACUGUGGUUAGAAAUGCCCCACCCUCCAUAUCCCAUGGCCAUGCUUCUCCUUUUUUUUUGCUCAUUUGUUUUUUGUUUUGUUUUUUUUUUUUUUAAACCUUGGGCUCAUUGAAGGUAGAUAUGGCAAAGAGAAUAAACAGUCACAACUGACAAUCAGAUCAUUCCACAUGGUAAAGAGCUACAUCUCUGCAUGUCUGUGACUUCUGCUGUGAAUUCCAAGGUGGAACACAUUAUUGUGCACAUCAUUAGUAUUUUGUAACAGCCCAGGAAUCAUUUCUGAAAUAAACAAUGCCAUAUGUAUUAAAUGAUUUCUUCCUAAGAAAAAUCCCUAGGGUCUUUCCUAAAUACUAUCUUGAUGAAGAUUUAGAAUACUGAAUGACUGUCAGUGUGCUCAGUUUUAUAUCAAAUUCCCACAUAAAUCAGAACACACAUGGAGGAUGGAUAAACUGUCUUAAGGAAGUGAGGUACAAUUAUCAAUACAUCCACAUUUCCUAACUCAGAUGGCCAUGGUGCAUGCAGUCCUCCAUUGACUUGGCCCCUCCUUUCUUCGCCUCCUUUCACUAUACAACCUGGAAGAGUGACACUCCUGAUAUCUUAAUUACUGCUCUGUUGCUGGAAUGAAACACCAUGAACAAGGCAACUUAUAGAAUAAAGAGUUUAUGAGAGUUUACAUGUUUAACGUGAGUCUAUGACUAUCACAACCAUGAGUAUGGUGCCAGGCAGGCAGGCAGGCAUGGCACUGGAGCAGUAGCUGAGAACUGAGCAGCAAGUAUGCCAUAUAGACACACACACACACACACACACAGUCGGGUUAAUUGGGAAUGGUGUGGGCUUUUGAAACCUCAAAGCCUAUGCCCAGUGACCCAUCUUCCCUAAGAAGACCACACCUCUAAAUCCUUCCCAAACAGUUCUGACAACUUUGUGCCAAGUGUUCAAAUGUAUGAACCAAUAGUAGCAAUUCUCAACCCAACUACCACCCUUGAUAAAGGCAAGCUGAAGCAGAGACCAGUCAUUAUAAGGAGUCAUUACUCUGACAGAAAGGGAAACAGUUUUUGUAAAUUUUAUCGCUUUUGUAAAUACUUAUGUGAAUCAUCGACCUUGAUUCUCCUGGGCUCUAAGAUACAUACAAAAGGCUUUUUAACCUUUCAGGGCCUACACUAGCAAAUGAGCUUUUAGUGAGUGACUGUCACUUCAAAUCUUCUACAGGAAGUUCAGGGUAUCAAAUUAAAAAUUGAAUAGUAGAAAUAAAAUAAUGGAUAGGUGUGGUUUAUGUCUGACUGAGAACAAAUUUAUUAAAGCAUGAUGUUUAUUACAGAAUUCUCCAAUGUUUUGCAUGAUAUUGGCUUGGUACAAAUUUCACUUUAUUUCAACUAACUUUGUAGCAGAAAUUAGCACCUCUCUAUUAUCAAAUACCCUAUACUAGAUUUAAAGCUAAAAACUUAGAGACCAAUAUGAUAUAAAAGUCCUUCGAUCCAUAAGAUGCUAAAAAUGUAGCUCUUUUUCAGAAGUGAUGUUUUCCACUUUUCCAAUGUACAAAGCAAAGUUUUAUUCAGUUCAUCAGACCAAUCUACAUAGAGCUCACUUUACAUAUUUUAUGUGUAUGCUUUGCACUUCUGUCUAUCAAGGAAGAUAUCUCAAGAGCUUUAUUCUCUAUUCAUGCCUUUCCCUUGGCUACAUUUCUUUUUUUAAGACACAUUAUAUAAAUGUUCCAUCAACUCCUCUUAUUCUCAUCAAAAUAAUUUAUAACUUAUGCCAGCAGUUAAAAAUUUUGUUGACAAGAAACUCUUUAUGGAAUAUAAUUAUCACCAUUUGCAUUUCCAGCCCAGAGAGUUGUCAUUUAAAUUGCCCCAGUAUUGUUUUUAAUACUUCUGCUAAAACCUUCCUUAUAUAGUCUACAAUAUGGGGAUCAUACUUCUCACCCAUAACACAUCACCUACUGCUCUUCUGGUCCUCCACUGUCCCUUGCUGAGGUCCCUAUCUUCCAUUUUCAGACAUGGAGGAAAAUGUAAGCCAUAUAAAAAUACAUAAACAAAGUAUCAAAUGUAGCCUAAGUAUAUGCUCAGCACCAACUGAUCUCAACUCCUAUUUGGGUACAUCAGUUUUGUUUUGUUUUGUUUUGUUUUGUUUUGUUUUGUUUUGUUUUGUUUUGUUUUAAUUAUGAUGCAAUACAUCUAUGGUUAUCUUGUUAUCUACAGUGAUUGUUUACAAUCUCGUUUUUGGCAACAGUCUCAAAGAAAUUAGAGAAAAUUAAUUGGCUUUAGAAGCUUUUUUUUUUCUAUAAGCCACACCAGCAUUUCAUGUCUUGUUUCAUUCUUUAUGAUUUUCACAGGGCAGGAAAGCCCAAUUGAGCAAGUAGUGUAUCUGGCAGAUGGCACCAGUAGUGCCUAAACACUGAAGGAAUGGUACAGAUUACGAGGAUAAGCUGUGCAAAAUGUAGGGAUGACUCCAAGGUACCAAGAGAAGGACAGAGAGAGGCCUUUCACAAACCCUGUCUAUGUAAGUGUUUGUGAUUGUUUGGGGAAUGUCUAUGGUGAAGAUAAACAGGAGCUGUGGAACUUGCUCUGUCAAGCUGUCUUCCGGGAAUGUGUCUGACGAUGUUAUCAGUGGGUCUAAAGAUCAAAAGAACUGUCACAAUCAGCAACCAGCUGAACAUUUACUACCUACAGAAGCAAAGGAUCAACUAUCUCCUACCCAGUGGAGCCUGUCUGCAUGCUGCCACUACUUUUCAGAGAAAGCCAACCGCUGAUUGGAAUUUGAGGACCUGUGGUAAUAAAGGAUCAGACCUGGACUGGUAAUAUGACUCAGGAGUAAAGGUGAUGGCCAGCAAGCUAGCCCAAGUUUGAUCAUUAGGACCACAUGAUAGAAACAGAGAACCAAGUCCUAUAAACUGUCCUUUAAUCUCUAUACAAUGUCCUGGAAGCAGACCAUAAAACCACAACUGCAUAAACCAAACAAGUAAAUGGUUUAAAGUUGGAUCAAAUUUUGCAAAUGGCCACUAACUCAAAAACUUUGAUGAUUAUAUUUAAUUGAAGUCAUACUUCACUCAGAGAGCAUUGCUGUAGACCAUGGAUUAAGACAGGACCAACAGAGUUGGUGUCUUGCUCUUUUAUUGGGAAGACUGAGGCUCACUUUAUUUUGGAUUCUUGGCAAUUUUCCAUCUGGAUAUCUUUUUUUUUUUUUUUAUUUCUAUGACAUUUCCCCUUACAUGCUGAGUUUUAAUAUCUUAACAUUUUUGUUGUCAAAAAUUAAAACACAAAAACAAACAAACAAAAAACCAAAACAAAACAAAAGUCACUGAUUUUUCUCCUACCUUCUAACUAACAUGACUUAACAUGACUGUGGAUUUUUCCACAGUGUGCCUUGUCCUGAGCAAGCAUUGAAUUCUGUGGGUCCUCACCAAUGCCUGAAUUCAUGGUCCUCAGGAAAUUUAUUUUUGUUCAUGUGUCUGCUGUUCAGAUGCUCCUCAUAGAGACUUCCUCUCCUUUUCCUUUGUUUUUGGACCUAUGUCUUCAGGACAGCCCCGAUUCUUCUACCAGUUCUGAACUAAAGCUUCCUAGUUCUGAGUGUGAAGAGAGCACUGAGAAGAUGGGAGAGAACAAAGUCCACACCAAGAAACAGAGUAUGUGGACUGUGUUCUCUCAGGCCAAAGCUGCGUGUACUUAAGGACAGGUUUCAGGGGCAGAGGUAUCUCAGCCUCUGGCAGAUGCAAGAACUGUCUCUGCCACUCUAAAGCAUAGCUAGAAGCAGGUUAAAACCUGGUUCCACUGCAACCCUAUAGGUGGAACAACAUUAUGAACUAACCAGUACCCCGGAGCUCUUGACUCUAGCUGCAUAUGUAUCAAAAGAUGGCCUAGUCGGCCAUCACUGCAAAGAGAGGCCCAUUGGACUUGCAAACUUUAUAUGCCCCAGUACAGGGGAACACCAGGGCCAAAAAGGGGGAGUGGGUGGGUAGUGGAGUGGGGGUGGGUGGGUAUGGGGAACUUUUGGUAUAGCAUUGGAAAUGUAAAUGAGCUAAAUACCUAAUAAAAAAUGAAAAAAAAAAAAAACCUGGUUCCAAAACCAGAGAAUGAAAUAUAAGCGAUGGCAGAAAAAUCAAUGGCUGAAGAUUAGCAACAAUGUGACCAGAAGGGCUUAGCAUCUGUAGAGAAUACUAGCCUCCCUUCCAGCUAUCCCCAGGGCAACCAGUUGAACACAUCUGGAAAUCUUCCAGUGUGGGGCAGCCAUACUUGAAACAGCUCGCCUAGAUAUAAUCAGACUUGGACCAAUCUACCCUGGAGCAACCAACUUGCAGCAAGCAGAUCUGGAACAAAACACUCAUGCCUGGUGUAUUCAAAUCUGAAACAGUUGGGCAUGGACUGUUCCUUUCUAUAACUGUGGGGCAGAGUCUACAGGCUUACAUGCAGUUCCAGCAGAACUUCUCUGCCAGUGAUUUGGAGGCAAAUUUGGAGGCCAAGUAUGCACAUUUUAGCACCCCAUAAACUUUGGAAUUCCUACUAUGAAUUUGCCAGGUGAAGUGUGAGGAUGUUAGCUCAACCUAAAGUUAGGGUAGUGGCUGGAUUACUUCCUUCUCCGAAAGAUUUUCAUAUUGCGUAGUAGUAGUAGUAGUAGUAGUAGUAGUAGUAGUAGUAGUAGUAGUUGUUGUUGUUGUUGUUGUUGUUGUUGUACUAGCAGCAGCAGCAGCAGCAACAGCAGCAGCAGCACUUUGGUGCCAGAUAGGACCUUAGACCUUGAACAUGGGGGGCACCCACUCAACUGAGCUCUAUUUGUAACCCUGUAUUGCUGUAUUUGUCUUAGCUGUGUAAUUGUCUUCUUUAGUGUUGUGCUGGAUAUUAAAUCAAGGGCUUUAGAGAUAAUGAAUUACCUCUGUGAUGGUUUGUAUAUCCUUGGACCAGGGAGUGGCACCAUCUGAAGGUGUGGCCUUGUUGAAAUAGGUGUGACCUGGUUGGAAUGGGUGUGUCACUGUGGGUGUGGGUAUAAUAUCCUCACCCUAGUUGCCUGGAAGCCAGUCUUCCACUGGCAGCCUUUGGAUGAAGACAUAGAACUCUCAGCUCCUCCUGGACCAUGCCUGCCUGUUGCUCCCACCUUGAUGAUAAUGGACUGAACCUCUGCACCUGUAAGCCAGCCCCAAUUAAAUGUUGGUUUUUUUUUUUUUUAUAAGACUUGCCUUGGUCAUGGAGUCUGUUCACAGCAGUAAAACCCUAACUAAGAUACCCCCUCCUCCCCCACAUACUCAUACACCCUUACCAACCCCAGUUUGUCUUUUCUUAGAAACAUGGGUCUUGCUGUACAUGGUGUGUCCAUUUCAGGGGUGAGGUUUAACUGGAAUCUGAAACAAGGAGGUCUGAAUGACUUUUCCUGCUACAGAAAUAGGCAUGAGGGCACUAGCUACAGGUCUAGUACGUUUGGGAUGUGAUCUAAAGGUGUAAAAAGUAAUGAUUCCUUCAAAUAUGGUGGCCACUCUGGAGGAUGCAGUAGAAGGAUCACAAGUUUGAGGCUAGCACAGAUAUACAGUAAGUUCAAGUCUAGCAUUUAAAUAGUAAGAUUGCAUCUGACCAGAAUAAAACUAGCUCUUUGGUUGGAGGAGAACUUCUGCCUUGGCAAUUAGGAGAUGUAACCUGUUAAGUAUAUUUUGUUCAUCGCCUCCAUUUCUUUGGAGACUCACCAUGAGUACCUCUAUGUUAAUUAAUAUCUAUAGAAAGAUGCUUAUAUGUGACUAUACCAUGAUAAGCCAAUGCCAGUUUGACUAUUGUAUGUAAAAAACAAACAAACAAACAAACAAAAAACCCACUAACUUUAUCUUAAAAGAAAAAAAGACACACCCCUCAUUUGUCAGAAGCAGCAACUUUAUUAGAAAACACUUCUCUGGGCCAGAGGAGGCAACCAAGCUACUGUGUCUCCCUAAAGUUUUUCCCCAUCACUAGCGCCUUAAAACCUGUUCCAUUAAAAUUAAAACCUAUCAGCACCACAAGUCUUCAAACAUCCUUAAUAAGAUUUCUUAUAUAAGUGUAAAUUUGAACCAAUUUUUCUUCUAUCUUCAGACAGAUUUUUCUCCAUUCCAAAUAGUGAGAAAGCACUGUGGCCAAAGGUCUAGGACUUAGCUUUGAUUUCCGAUUUGCAUCAUAAUAGAGUUCAGUAUACCACUGGCCAUCAUAAGGCCUAACAAAGCAGUAUCUUAAUUAGCCUUUGGUGGCCCUCAGGAAGAUCUGUAAAGAGGGAAAACCCUCCAGAGACUAGCAACAGUCAACAAGGUCACAGAGAAACUAAGCUGCCAAGAUUUCCUCAAAGACUCGCUUGUUCAAUUUUAGACCAUCUGCUUGGCAGAUGCCUCCUAGACAUUCUCUAGCAUAAACAUGAAGUCCACAGAGAUUUCGGAAGAUACUCACUCAUGAGUAAAGAACUCACCUAGAAAAAAAAAGAUGAAAGACUUUUUGUGUACCUGGUAAUACAAAACUAUUUUAGCAAGUUAAUACAAUGAAAGAAAGCUAUCAGGUAUCAUGAGGAUUUUAUAUUAAAUAUUACAUAUUUUCUCAGCCACUGUGAACCUGAAGGUGAUGAUUCUGUAUGAUCCUGGGAACACACAUUUUAGUAUUCAAAGGCAUUUGUAACAUGUUACCCUGUAUGACACGUGCACGUGUGUGUGUGUGCACGCACGUGUGCGCAUAAACAAACAUACACACAACCCACCACCAUCAAAGAACCCAAGCACUACCAAAACUGUCGACUCUGAGCAGACUUAGACAAAAUGACUAACAUGGGGAUUAUAAGGACCACUCAUAUUAUUAUAAGGAUAAAAUUAAUGUUUCCUGUGUGGACCCUUCAUUUAGGAAGCCAGUAAUGUAAUUGAGAAUACCAGGUUGAGAUGACACUGUCGGUCUCAAACAUUGAAAUGAUGACCUCUUGACACCAAGCCCGCCUUUCUAGAUCCUGUCUACAAACAGCCUUGAUGUGAGUCCAUACCACUGCUGUCAACAACCCUUUUGUCACAGGUAGACCAUGCUUGCCUAUUCAGAAGUGCCCAUCAGUAAAAUCUGAACUAUUGAGAAAGGAUCUUUAGAGAAUAAAGGUAAAUUCUUUAAGCAAAGUGGAUCAUCAUAAGUGAGUACAAGAUGCCCAGUUCAUUCCUAUAUUAAUGAGGGUUCUCUGGAGAAAUAAAACCAAUGGGAUUGGUAGAUAGAUACAGAUAUGGAUAUUAUAUUAACUAAUUUAUUAGGUUAGCUUUAAAAUAGCAACAAUACCAGUAUCAUGCCUGAGAGCUGAGAACAUAAUAGCUACUCAGUACUUGAGGCUGGGUGCCUCAGCAAUUGGGGGAGCCCCUCAACAGCCCAAACAUUAAUGGGCAACCAUUGGUUUCUAGUCCACAGUGAAAGCCUGGUUUUAAUAUCUGCAAAGGUUUCAUCACCAUCUUCACCAUCAUCACCAUCACCAUCACCAUCACCUUGACUAGCACAGCUAAUCAACUCAGCAGCAAGAGAGAAGACUAAAGAGCAAAAGAGGAAAUGAUCUCCUGCAACACCCAGUUUAAUUGGACUGCUAUCAGAAGAUAACACACACAACUAGGGUGGUUCUUUCCACAUCCAUGGGAGCAAUCCAGUCAUUUCUUCAGGUGAGGCUUCACUCUCUACUUAGUAGUACACUGACAUUACAACCAAACAUCAUAGCUCCCACUUACCCAGCCUAUCUUUUUAGUCCACAUUCCCAUGUCUGGAUUCAAGCCAUACACAAGCAAAGCUCUUCCAACCUGUGUGCUGUUAUUGCUCACACUAAAUUUCAGCCUAGGAUAUCUUCCUGGAUACCUUCUGAAAACAUGAGGUGCUCACACACCAACUCCACAUUCCUGCUCCACUACAAGACCCUCCUGGCUAAUCCUGCUCACUGUCACGUCAUUUCUCCAGGUAUUUUUCUUAAGACUUGCUUUAGUACUUUGCUUAGUUUGUGCAGAAGCGCAAAAGAGAUUCUUUUUUAAGCAAAUGGUUGGUCUUAUACUGUCAGGAUUUUUCUCUUUUCUUUUCUUUUUUUAAAUUCUAAUUUCGUGGGUUAAAUAUUUUGUUAUAUAUAGUUUAUUUGUGUGAUACAGCUGAUUUAGAACCCCUAGGUAGGGACAGGGAGGCUUCAUCAAAACUUGUAAUAACUGAAAAAUUUAAAUUUAGAAUACAUGAAGGUCCCUCAAAUGAGAACGUUCCCUGAUAAUGCUGUAGUGCAAUCUGAAUACUAAUCAUCCAUGCAAAAAUGGAAAUGGUCCUUUACUCUCCAGGGUCUGCAGGUUAGAAAAGAACAAGCAAGAGCUAGCGAUGGAGCUUAGUGGUACAGCACUUAUCUAACACACAUUCUCUCUCUCUCUCUCUCUCUCUCUCUCUCUUUCUCUUUCUCUCUCUCUCUCUAACACACACACAUACACACACACACACACACGAAAGCAAAAAAUGGUAGUUAUAUUUCUGUUCAGGCAGAGGUUUAACAAGCUAAGGCAAUCAUUAAAGGGAGCCAAAUUCAAAAGUGGGCUUGAAGCAGGAAAGGAAAGGAAGUCUCUCAGGAGGUGGGAUAAAUACUGUAGUAUGUAGAAGUGAAUAGUAAAUCCCAUUCUCGGGAGAGAGAAAGUAAAGAUGGAAAUCUCUGGGGAUCAGUAACAAAAGGGACAGGAUCACAGUGACUUUGUCUCCGGGCUGGGGCUACCAUGACAGCCAGGCAGAGGAAAGGUCAGGAAAGGUCAGUGCCCUUCUGCAUGUGGGGUUGGUUUGUUUGUUUUUCUCUUCCAUUAACUUCCCCCAUGUCCUGAGGGCUCUUUGUAAGGUGAUUUAUUUUGCAGCUGGAAGUCCACUCUCUGGAUGCUUCUUCCUUGCCUAAGAACAAUGAGGAUGUGGAGGAAGAACACUGGAACAGUGUCCAAACAUAACAGACACUGACUCUAUCUGCCCAAACUCCACUACAGUCCUUCCUAGGACACAUCUGACAAUCCAUACACUGUCGCACCUGCCUUCAAUAGGCAAGGAGCCUAAUCUUGCUGACGUACAGGCGCAGACAUCCUCGACUGACAAUUUUCUCUCCUAGGGAUGAGGGGAAUGGCAAGCACGACCUUCUUUAAUACCGCAGAGAAGCAGCAAUGAGCACCUGUGAGCACCUGUGCACUCUGGCAUCUGGCAGACAGCUUGAGAUGGACGGCACAUUUACAUGAUUCAAAAAUAAGAUGCUAAGACAUGACUCCUGCAUCUGUGUCCAUUGUAGCCUCCCCCAGCCUGAAGCAGGCUGGUACAAACCUUGUGGCCACUGAGGUGGGGCCACCUGUGGUGCAGCUUUUUCGGACUUGGCUGGCUCCUCUUUGAAGUGACAACUGCCCUGCUCUUCUGCUACCUGGAGAGGCUGAACCUGUCUUCCUGAGAGAUUCCCGAAUAAGCAACCAGCCUGGAGACCAACAAAGUGCUGACAGAAUGGCUCCAGGCACCAAGAGUGGACUGGGGGACAGGGGACAGGGGAC